GUGCCCUUAGCUCAACGGACAGAGCCGGCGGUUUCUACCCGCCUGAUGUGGGUUCGAUUCCUACAGGGCGCGCCA
rnacentral:tRNA from 1 species